AUGAACGCUGGCGGCGUGCCUAAUACAUGCACGUCGAGCGAACAGAUGAGGAGCUUGCUCCUCUGACGUUAGCGGCGGACGGGUGAGUAACACGUGGAUAACCUACCUAUAAGACUGGGAUAACUUCGGGAAACCGGAGCUAAUACCGGAUAAUAUAUUGAACCGCAUGGUUCAAUAGUGAAAGACGGUUUUGCUGUCACUUAUAGAUGGAUCCGCGCCGCAUUAGCUAGUUGGUAAGGUAACGGCUUACCAAGGCAACGAUGCGUAGCCGACCUGAGAGGGUGAUCGGCCACACUGGAACUGAGACACGGUCCAGACUCCUACGGGAGGCAGCAGUAGGGAAUCUUCCGCAAUGGGCGAAAGCCUGACGGAGCAACGCCGCGUGAGUGAUGAAGGUCUUCGGAUCGUAAAACUCUGUUAUUAGGGAAGAACAAAUGUGUAAGUAGCUAUGCACGUCUUGACGGUACCUAAUCAGAAAGCCACGGCUAACUACGUG
rnacentral:rRNA from 1 species